UUUCUGUGGCCUGGGACUGGUAAGCACCAACAAGUCCUGCUCCAUGCCACCCAUCAGUUUCCAAGACCUCCCUCUGAACAUCUACAUGGUCAUCUUCGGCACAGGCAUCUUUGUCUUCAUGCUCAGCCUCAUCUUCUGCUGCUAUUUUAUCAGCAAACUCCGGAACCAGGCACAGAGCGAACGGUAUGGAUAUAAAGAGGUGGUGCUUAAAGGUGAUGCCAAGAAGUUACAGUUAUACGGGCAGACCUGUGCAGUCUGUCUGGAAGACUUCAAGGGGAAGGACGAGCUAGGUGUGCUUCCCUGCCAACACGCCUUUCACCGCAAGUGUCUGGUGAAGUGGCUGGAAGUACGCUGUGUCUGCCCCAUGUGUAACAAGCCCAUUGCUGGUCCCUCAGAGGCCACUCAGAGCAUCGGGAUUCUACUGGAUGAACUGGUGUGAGUGCCGCCUCCAUACGGAGGCGUGGAGAAGACUGGAGAAGACUCCGCCUCCAGCCUCGCAGCGGGGGGACCAGAUCCUUCCACGCAGCUGUGGUGAACAAGACUGUUGGGUGGCAAUGGUCAUGCUGACCUGGAGGGGAGGGGGCGCAGGGCUGGCCUUCCACCAUCAGGAGGAGACUAGACUUGCCCCCUUCAUUGAGUCCUGAAGCCUUCUUCCCAGCUACUCCACACUGACGGCAUGGCCCAUCCGGAAGCCUGUAUCCUGGCACUGGACUGUGCCUGCCUUGUCCCACCUCUAGGGAAAGAAAUCUACUCCUGUAGGGCCAAGAACUUUCAGCACCCCACCUUGAGGGUUCCCCUGAGGUGGACAUGUUGCCCUGACCUAGAAGAAGGGAUGAGCUGGGCUCUGCCCCACCCGUUAUUUCCCUGCCCCCUCCCCAGUCCUUCCAGAGGAAGGUUAGAAGGGGAGGGAGGAGAGAUGGUAGAACCAAGUGCCUCCAGUGAAAGCCAGGGAGCAAGGCACUGGAGGAAAUCAAAUCAGGAAGAGCAGGAACUAAAAGAAGCAAAGUCGCUGUUUACAUGGGACCUGUGGAAGCGAAGGCUGGCCACCUGGCCUGCUGACUGCAGGGGGGUGGAGGGCAGCCCCUCCCCCGCUGGCAUUGAGGUGCUAUCUGUUCACUGAUCUCAGAGCUUCCUGUUCCAGGUUGGGUGCUCCAUCCCCCCCACCCCCCACCCCCACCCCAGCAGAGGAAGGGCUUGUUCUCCACCCAAGUGGAUUCCCAGGGGUUUUGUCUAAAGGAGGAAAAAGGGGCCUGGGGAUGGGGGUGUCUGAAGAGUAAGGUCGCAAUAGACCCCCCCUUCCCCCUUGUAAAUAGUAUUUUUAUACUUAAUCCUCACCAUCUCAGGCUUUAUACGUGGAAUUCCCCCCAGUGGAAAAGGUGGGGGUUUUCUUUUCCUCCCCCAAGCGGGUGAGGGUGGGGAAAAGGUAUGUAUUUAAAGAAAAUUAAAUUUAAUAACAAGUUUCUUUUAACCUUUUGCCAGUAGCUGUGGCCUGUUCUCUCUACUCACUUCUCCAUGCUCAAGGCAGACACAUGUGCAUGAAGGUGCCUAAUCCUUGAUAAGAAGUAUCAGUAUUAGAUUAUUACCUGCUCCACAUGGGUUAGGUUAGGGCUGACAUCAGUGUGCCAGGCUCAUUCAUAUGAUUUCUAGAAUAUUUGUAAAGAAAGUUGAUUAUGCCGCCACAGCAUUCCAGCUAGUAGGACUCAUCAGUCAUACAACUCUUGUAAUUCAAGCCAUUGAACUCCUAACACAAUUCAAGGUCCAGGUAGCUGCCAUAGAGGCUUGAUUUCUUUGACCGAUGUCUGUUUUUCUUCUCCACUGGCUGACAAGUCACACCCUGUAUAGCACAUCUAGAAAUAUCAUAUCGUUAACUGGUCAUGCUCCUAUGGCUGCACUCAGAUUUGACACCUUCGCCCUGCUACUUUGUCAAUAUCUUCAAGGGGUGGUGAGUCCAUCAUGCAUUUGCAAAAUGGAUUGAGAGGGUUGGGAACAAAUUUCAUAGCUCUCAUAAGCACGGAGCAGCUGGGCUGUGAUUGCCCCCUGCUCUGUGGAAUAGGGCAGGACCAAUGGUCAUCCCAGUCAAUGAACUUUGGGUACUGUGCCCAGGAGGAGCAUCCAUUGAGCAUCUGUAGUGGAUGAUGCCCGUGCACUCAGAGGAACCAGGCCAACAGGAGAGGUGUGGUGCCCCCCAACCCUGCAGUUACACCACAGAAGCUGUUGGUACAGUUGGUGCUCAUGGCUGGGCAGACCCGGGUGCAGCUGGGCACCUGACACUCAAAGGAGCAGCUGCUUUUAGCUCCUGGGCUGUUGCCUUGUGGAGGAGAGAAACCCCAGGUGACUGUCAAGUGAUGUGCUUGCCACUAUCCAAGAGCAUGGACUUUUCUUUUUUUAAUUCUGCAAUGGAUGACUUUUAAAGAAAUCCUAUGUGUAUCCACCAUUGACAAAGCCAGGGAUCAGAUACGAGCCAUAGUUUCGACCUACGCUACAGCUGUGGCUCCUUUAACCCAUUGUGCCAGAUGAAGGAUUGAAUCUGUGUCCUGGCUCUGGAGAGAUGCCGCUGAUCCCACUUUGCCACAGCUCAAACUCCUCACUUGGGCCUUUUAUGCCUCCCCAGUUGUGCCAUGUUUUCCCCAUUAGCCUAACCCCACCUCUGCCUUCCAUUCUACCACCCUCUCCGUCCCUGUGGGCAUUAGAAUAACCUCUUGAAUACCCCUGACUGUAUCACUCACAGGGUACUCUUUUGUUAAAGCCAGGCACACAGAUUCAGAGGGACAGAGGUGGCCAAAUGAGAGACAAGCAGGACAAACUGAUGACCAGUCAUGCAAGCUGGUACAAAGCCAUUCAUGGGAAAAGAGUCAAGCUGUUUCCCACGCCCCAUGCCAGCAACAGCGUUGGAUUCCUAGUGAUCCUAUUUUAAAAAGCAUACGCAUGUAGUUCCCUUCCUGAUAAACUGGCAGCCUCCACAGAUGCGGAGGACAUCACCAAUGUCACCUUUGUGCUUUGGCAUGGCCUUUGAUCCUGCCUCCAUGUGACAGUCUGAGCUCCAACCUAGGGCCUUUCCUCUACAAAAGGGAAACUAACAGCACCAACACCAGGGGGCCCGGGAAGUUAUUUUUGAUGGCUUUGGAGUAUUCUUCACAGUCUUUCACCUGUCACAGGCUUUUUUCCUUUCUUUUCUUUUCUUUUUUUUCUUUUCUUUUCUCUUUUCUUUUCUCUUCUUUCCUCUUUUCUUUUCUUUUCUUUUCUUUCUCUUUUUGGGGGAAUGCCCGCAGCAAGUGGAAGGUCCUGAGCCAGAGAUCAGUGCAGUGACAACGCCGGAUCCUUAACCUGAUGCUCCACCAGGGAACUCCCUCAGCACAUUUUUCUUUACUUUCCUUUUUUUUGGCCAUGCCCGAAGCGUGGGAAAGGUCCUAAGCUAGGGAUCAACCCAAGAUACUACAGUGAUAAUGCCAGAUCCUUAACCUGCUGCUCCACUGUGGGGAACUCACUAAGCACAUUUUUCUUAUCCAUCCUCUCUCUUCUCUAAUUCUUUUUUUUCUCCCUCUUCCUUUCUUUGCCACUCUUUUCCUUCAUCCUAGCCUAUUCUCUGAGAGAACUCCAAAGCCACUGCAGAACCUCCCGCUGGGCCAUCAUUGUCAUGAAUGAUUGAAAAGAUAGGUCAGUUACAAAGGGGUUACACCCAAGUGAUUGCGUAAGCCACCCAGGGACCAGCUCUGAAUUUCACUGUAUUUAAUAUAUGUGUGCGUUAAGUCUCAAGAAGGUGGCUGAUAUCCUCAAAGACAGGAAUGGGAUCCAUGGUGAUGCUGAUGCAUUAAGGAUACGAUGCAAUGUGAGAGAGGACAAAAAAUCCAACCCCCAAAGAAGGAAAAACCAGGUUUGUUUCAGGAAGGGAAAUGGAUCUGGAGGCACGAUGGAUAGCAACUCAGUGACAUAUAUAUAUAAAUUGUACAUCUAAUGUUUUAAAAACAAGUGAACUGAGUAUAACCAGAAAUCUGCCUCAGAUAUGAAGAAGAUAAGUCCCUUCUGAUCACUCAUGCAUACAUUUUGAGUUGAGGCUUGUUUGAAAAAUAACUCAGGUAUGAAAUCACUUUAUAUUUAAGGAGUUCCCCUUGUGGUGCAGUGGAAACAAGUCUGACUGGUAUCCAUGAGGAUGCAAGUUCAAUCCCUGGCUUUGCUCAGUGAGUGUUUCGGGGAUCUGGCGUUGCCGUGAGCUGUGGUGUGGGUUGCAGAUGUGGCUCGGAUCUGGUAUUGCUGUGGCUGUGGCAUAGGCUCUGACUCAACCCCUAGCUUGGGAACUUCCAUAUGCCUCAGGUGCAGCCCUAAAAAAACAAACAAACACACAAAAGUAAAAUGUGAUCCUGGUGGUAAAGCAUCCUUUGGUGCUUUGGGUAAUAUUUAACCUUGCUAAAUUAUGUGCCAGAUGUCAAGGCAAAAAGAGAGAAAAGCAUCAAGAGUGUAAGACAUCCUUGCCCUCCUGAACAUAUUAACAUUUCUUCCACAAUUACCCAUGGAAUAUUCUCAUUUUGGACUUUUUCCACACCCUAAAUUUAGCAAGCUAGAAUUAUCUUUUAAGCACCACUUUAAGCAAACUUUUUGAAAGGGAGACUGCCGAGGAGGGGGAAAUCUGCAUUUCUUUGUGGUUAGGAUGUAAUGUCUUCAAUUUAAUUAUGAUGCAAAGAAGCAGACUCCUGCUUUAUUAUAUGCUGAGGACAGAGCCAAGAGAGUACCCCAGCAAAUUCAUUACAGGUUUAUAAGAUUAAAAACUCAUACAUUCAUAUUGAGAAACAGGCAGUGCAUUAUAGGUUUGCUUUGUGUGUUCUGGCGAUUGGGCACACUGAAUGGAAUAAUUGCCUUAAGUGUGCCAGGCGGAUUUCAUUAUUGAAAGGAAUUCUGUUUGAGUUUUUAAUGACUUAAAAAAGUCUUUAAAAUAAGAUCUAAGGGCUUUUUCACUUUUUAACUUAUAUACUUUGAAACACUGAAAUCUUCAUGUAAAAUCAGUUUUUCUUAAAGUGAGCCAUGGCUAUAGAAUAAAAUAAAUUAGAAAGAAUUUCUUUAAAGUCUAGUUUGCAAAAAAAAAUGCACGAAGCAAGCACAGAUCAAGAAAGAGUCGUUUUGAAUGCACGGUUUUUGUUCAUCAUUAUUAGUUUUCAAAGGGGUGAAGGUUCUGUAUUUGAGAAACAAAAAGUUCACUGGCAAGAGUCAGCAAUGAACUGAGGCUAUGUUUUAGGAAACAAGGGGUCUCUCCCUUCUGCUCCUCAUUAUGAGGUUAAUUCAUAUAGAGGAAUAAACAAAGCCAGCACUGGAAUCCAAAGAAUGGGUUUUAAACCCAGCUCUGCCUCUAAUUAGCUGGGAGGCCCUGGCCUUGUUCCUUAGUCUCUCUAAGCCUUGCUUUUCUCCUCUGUGAAAUGGAGAUCAUAGUAACUGCCUCCAAGUGUGGUUAAGAAGCAUACAUAAAAGAAUGCAGAAUAAAGGCUCAAAGUCAUUUUCAAAUAUAAGCUAUUUUAGUUUCUAAAGUCAAGAUCCCCAAUAAGGGGACUAAAUGAUAGGUCCAGAAGAAACAAGAAAGCUUGCGUAUUUCCUCCAGUCAUCCCAAUUAAUGCAUCACUCUUUGGUGAGCAUGCACUUUAUCACAGGUGCUGCAUUCAUGUUGCAUAAAAAAGGAUUUGCUUUAUUUCACUGGGCCUAGCUGAUAGCCAUUGAACAUGCCAUUUGUGGAGAAGUCUGAUAUGGAAUUUUUUUUUUCUCCUUUUUUUCCCUAACUGCCACACCUACGGCAUGUGGAAGUUCCCAGGCUAGGGGAUCGAACUGGAGGUGCCGGCCUACACCACAGCCACAGCAAUGCUGGAUCUGAGCUGCAUCUUCAACCUAUGCUGCAGCUUGUAGCAGUGCUGGAUCCCUAACCCACUGAGCAAGGCCAGGGAUUGAACCUGCGUCCUCACAAACCGUAUGUCGGGUUCUUAACCCACUGAGCCAUAAAGUAAUAACUAUACUUAAAGUCAACUAUUGAAAAGUACAUAUUUCAAUUUUUUCCUAUUUAUUCAACAGCCAGCACAGAGUAAUUGAGUGCCUCCUAUGUGCCAGCCACUGUGUCCUGUGCCAAAGUACAAAAUCCAAGAGGGUCUCUACUCCUAAGUCAUUUGUGGUAUAAUAAGAAAAAUAGAGACUAAACAAACUUCUACACAUGCCAGCCAUAGAAAAGUGUGCAGUGCCUUCCUAAGUUAAACCGAGAGCAGGGUAUGGAGGUGACUACAGGAGAGGCCUUUAAGCAAGACCAGUAGAGGCACUGAGGCUGAGCUCAGAAGAUUGACAAGAGUUGGGGAAAGGCUGGACAGAAGAGCAUAUGUGAGAACUUCGAGGCAAAAUUGAGCUUGGAUAGUUGGAGAACAAAUCCCAUGUGGUUAGAGCUUCGUGAGAGGCAGGAAAAUAGUACAAAGCAAGGUUGAAGGGACACGGGGGUCAGAUCAUGUAUGGCUGUGGUGAGGAACUUCAAUUUAUGAUAAUGGGGAUUUAAGAAGAGAAGUCAAAAAAAAAAAAAGGGGGUCCCCGUCGUGGCGCAGUGGUUAACGAAUCCGACUAGUUGCCGAGAGCUGUGGUGUAGGUCGCAGACACGGCUAGGAUCCUGAGUUGCUAUGGCUCUGGCGUAGGCUGGCAGCUGCAGCUCCGAUUUGACCCCGAGCCCGGGAACCUCCAUAUGCCGCAGUUGUGGCCCAAGAAAUGGCAAAAAGACAAAAAAAAAAAAAA
rnacentral:lncRNA from 1 species